CCUACGGGUGGCAGCAGUGAGGAAUAUUGGUCAAUGGGCGCGAGCCUGAACCAGCCAAGUAGCGUGAAGGAUGACUACCCUACGGGUUGUAAGCUUCUUUUAUAAAGGAAUAAAGUGAGGCACGUGUGCCUGUUUGUAUGUACUUUAUGAAUAAGGAUCGGCUAAUUCCGUGUCAGCAGCCGCGGUAAUACGGAGGAACCGAGCGUUAUCCGGAUUUAUUGGGUUUAAAGGGAGAGUCGAUGGGUUGGUAAGUCAGUUGUGAAGGCUUGCGGCUCAACCGUAAAAUUGCAAUUGAUACUGGCAGCCUGGAGUACAGUUGAGGUAGGCGGAAUUCGUGGUGUAGCGGUGAAAUGCUUAGAUAUCACGAAGAACUCCGAUUGCGAAGGCAGCUUACUAAACUGCCACUGACAUUGAUGCUCGAAAGUGUGGGUAUCAAACAGGAUUAGAUACCCGAGUAGUC
rnacentral:rRNA from 1 species